UACAGAGGGUGCAAGCGUUUAAUCGGAAUUACUGGGCGUAAAGCGUGCGUAGACGGUUACAUAAGUCGGGUGUGAAAGCCCCGGGCUCAACCUGGGAAUUGCAUUCGAGACUGCGUAGCUAGGGUGCGGAAGAGGGAAGCGGAAUUUCCGGUGUAGCGGUGAAAUGCGUAGAUAUCGGAAGGAACACCAGUGGCGAAAGCGGCUCCUGGUCCAGCACCGACGCUGAGGCGCGAAAGCUGGGGGAGCGAACGGG
rnacentral:rRNA from 1 species